rnacentral:rRNA from 1 species
CAAUAGCGUAUAUUUAAGUUGCUGCAGUUAAAAAGCUCGUAGUUGGAUUUCGGGUGGGAAUGGCCGGUCCGCCGUUUCGGUGUGCACUUGCUACGCCCACCUUGCUGCCGGGGACGUGCUCUUGAGUUCACGCUCGGGACACGGAGUCGGCGAGGUUACUUUGAGUAAAUUAGAGUGUUCAAAGCAGGCCUACGCUCUGAAUACAUUAGCAUGGAAUAACACGAUAGGACUCUGGCCUAUCUUGUUGGUCUGUAGGACCGGAGUAAUGAUUAAGAGGGACAGUCGGGGGCAUUCGUAUUUCAUUGUCAGAGGUGAAACUCUUGGAUUUAUGAAAGACGAACUACUGCGAAAGCAUUUGCCGAGGAUGUUUUCAUUAA